rnacentral:misc_RNA from 1 species
GAAAUGCGAUAAGUAAUGUGAAUUGCAAUUCCGUGAAUCAUUAAAUCUUUGAACGCACAUUGCGCUUUCUGGUAUCCCGGAGAGCAUGUCUGUUUGAGAAUCAGUUUAACUCUCAUCCCCUUUUUCAUUGUUGGUUUAACGCUAACUUUUUAAAAAGAUGGGUGGACUUGGGUGAAUUUAACUUUUUGUAAAAGUUGGAUCACCUUAAACUUAAUUUUCUUGCUAGAAAAGGUAAGACUUUUCUUAAUGAAAGGCGAAAAGCUAGAAGGCAUGACCAAUGAGCUGGCAACAGUUCUUAAGGA